rnacentral:rRNA from 1 species
UACGUAGGGGGCAAGCGUUGUCCGGAUUUCUUGGGCGUAAAGAGCGUGUAGGCGGCCGCACAGGUCCGUUGUGAAAACUGGAGGCUUAACCUUCAGACGUCGAUGGAAACCGUGCGGCUAGAGUCCGGAAGAGGAGAAUGGAAUUCCUGGUGUAGCGGUGAAAUGCGCAGAUAUCAGGAAGAACACCCGUGGCUAAGGCGGUUCUCUAGUACGGUACUGACGCUGAGACGCGAAAGCGUGGGGAGCGAACAGG